AAAAAGAUAAGCUAAAUAAGCUGUUAGGCUCAUAACCUAAAUAUAGGAAUAUAUUCCUUCUUUUUA
rnacentral:tRNA from 1 species